UGCAGUCGAGCGGUAAGGCCUUUCGGGGUACACGAGCGGCGAACGGGUGAGUAACACGUGGGUGAUCUGCCCUGCACUUCGGGAUAAGCCUGGGAAACUGGGUCUAAUACCGGAUAUGACCUCAGGUUGCAUGACUUGGGGUGGAAAGAUUUAUCGGUGCAGGAUGGGCCCGCGGCCUAUCAGCUUGUUGGUGGGGUAAUGGCCUACCAAGGCGACGACGGGUAGCCGACCUGAGAGGGUGACCGGCCACACUGGGACUGAGACACGGCCCAGACUCCUACGGGAGGCAGCAGUGGGGAAUAUUGCACAAUGGGCGAAAGCCUGAUGCAGCGACGCCGCGUGAGGGAUGACGGCCUUCGGGUUGUAAACCUCUUUCAGCAGGGACGAAGCGCAAGUGACGGUACCUGCAGAAGAAGCACCGGCUAACUACGUGCCAGCAGCCGCGGUAAUACGUAGGGUGCAAGCGUUGUCCGGAAUUACUGGGCGUAAAGAGUUCGUAGGCGGUUUGUCGCGUCGUUUGUGAAAACCAGCAGCUCAACUGCUGGCUUGCAGGCGAUACGGGCAGACUUGAGUACUGCAGGGGAGACUGGAAUUCCUGGUGUAGCGGUGAAAUGCGCAGAUAUCAGGAGGAACACCGGUGGCGAAGGCGGGUCUCUGGGCAGUAACUGACGCUGAGGAACGAAAGCGUGGGUAGCGAACAGGAUUAGAUACCCUGGUAGA
rnacentral:rRNA from 1 species